rnacentral:tRNA from 1 species
GGCGAGAUGGCCGAGCGGUCCAAGGCGCUCGUUUUACGCAACAGGCCCUUCGGGGGCGUAGGUUCGAAUCCUACUCUCGUCA